rnacentral:rRNA from 1 species
AUUGAACGCUGGCGGCAGGCCUAACACAUGCAAGUCGAACGAGUGGCGGACGGGUGAGUAAUGUCUGGGAAACUGCCUGAUGGAGGGGGAUAACUACUGGAAACGGUAGCUAAUACCGCAUACCAUCAGAUGUGCCCAGAUGGGAUUAGCAAGUUGGUGGGGUAACGGCUCACCAAGGCGACGAUCCCGAGCUGGUCUGAGAGGAUGACCAGCCACACUGGAACGUAGACACGUUCCAGACUCCUCCGGGAGGAAGCAUUUGGGCAUAUUGCACAAUGAGCGCAAGCCUGAUGCAGCCAUGCCGCGUGUAUGAGGAAGGCCUUCGGGUUUUAAAGUACUUUCAUCGGGGAGGCGUUACCCGCAGAAGAAGCACCGGCUAACUCCGUGCCAGCAGCCGCGGUAAUAC